AUACGGAGGAUGCGAGCGUUAUCCGGAUUCAUUGGGUUUAAAGGGUCCGCAGGCGGGCUAUCAAGUCAGAGGUGAAAUCCCACAGCUUAACUGUGGAACUGCCUUUGAAACUGAUGGUCUUGAAUUAAGUGGGCGUUGGCGGAAUAUGACAUGUAGCGGUGAAAUGCAUAGAUAUGUCAUGGAACACCGAAAGCGAAGGCAGCUAACGAUACUUAUAUUGACGCUCAUGGACGAAAGCGUGGGUAGCGAACAGGAUUAGAUACCCUGGUAGUCCACGCCGUAAACGUUGAUUACUCGUUUUCGGGGACUUUGGGUCUUCGGAGACUAAGCGAAAGUGAUAAGUAAUCCACCUGGGGAGUACGCUCGCAAGGGUGAA
rnacentral:rRNA from 1 species